GAGACGCGUUUUGCGAGGAACUGC
rnacentral:siRNA from 1 species